rnacentral:rRNA from 1 species
UACGUAGGUCCCGAGCGUUGUCCGGAUUUAUUGGGCGUAAAGCGAGCGCAGGUGGUUUAUUAAGUCUGGUGUAAAAGGCAGUGGCUCAACCAUUGUAUGCAUUGGAAACUGGUAGACUUGAGUGCAGGAGAAGAGAGUGGAAUUCCAUGUGUAGCGGUGAAAUGCGUAGAUAUAUGGAGGAACACCGGUGGCGAAAACGGCUCUCUGGCCUGUAACUGACACUGAGGCUCGAAAGCGUGGGGAGCAAACAGG